rnacentral:rRNA from 1 species
CCCAGACUCCUACGGGAGGCAGCAGUGGGGAAUAUUGCACAAUGGGGGAAACCCUGAUGCAGCAACGCCGCGUGAGUGAAGAAGUAUUUCGGUAUGUAAAGCUCUAUCAGCAGGGAAGAAGAUGACGGUACCUGAGUAAGAAGCCCCGGCUAACUACGUGCCAGCAGCCGCGGUAAUACGUAGGGGGCAAGCGUUAUCCGGAUUUACUGGGUGUAAAGGGAGCGUAGACGGUGAGACAAGUCUGAAGUGAAAGCCCGGGGCUCAACCCCGGGACUGCUUUGGAAACUGCCUGACUGGAGUGCUGGAGAGGCAAGCGGAAUUCCUAGUGUAGCGGUGAAAUGCGUAGAUAUCAGGAGGAACACCGGCGGCGAAGGCGGCCUGCUGGACCGCGACUGACGUUGAGGCUCGAAAGCGUGGGGAGCGAACAGGAUUAGAUACCCCUGUA